rnacentral:rRNA from 1 species
AUUGAACGCUGGCGGCAGGCCUAACACAUGCAAGUCGAACUAAUGGCGGACGGGUGAGUAAUGUCUGGGAAACUGCCUGAUGGAGGGGGAUAACUACUGGAAACGUUAGCUAAUACCGCAUACCAUCAGAUUUGCCCCGAUGGGAUUAGCUUUGUGGUGGGGUAACGGCUCACCAAGGCGACGAUCCCUAGCUGGUCUGAUAGGAUGACCAGCCACACUGGAACUUAGAAACGGUCCAGACUCCGUCGGGAGGCAGCAGUGGGGAAGAUUGCACAAUGGGCGCAAGCCUUAUGCAGCCAUGCAGCGUGUAUGGAGAAUGCCUUCGGGUUGUAAAGUAAUUUCAGCGGGGAGGCGUUACCCGCAGAAGAAGCACCGGCUAACUCCGUGCCAGCAGCCGCGGUAAUUC